AGCUCCGGGGCCUGGCCCUCUACUCCGGAAGUGGUUCCACUCAGUACCGCUCUUCCGGUCCGAGCCGUCUCGCUUUUCCCCAGGCGUGGGCGGAAGACGCCUGCAGACGAGUUUGGAAGGGCGUGCCGUGCGGGGGCGUGGCCACGCAGCAGCCGUCCUGUCGGCGCGGUUACCCUGCCGGCGGCGGCACCCCCUGGACCUCUCUUGGCCCGGCCGGGGACUCCGAGCCUCAGCAGCGAGGUUGGGAAGAUGAGAAAAGAAGUGAAGAGAAUCCAAGUUUUUAUCUGAAAACUUGUCAGGAGUGUGAGCAGACUAAAGUCAAAAAAGGGCACUGAAGAUGCACUGUUAAAAAGCCAGAGAUGAGCAGAAUGAUUGCUUGAAGAAAUCCCUGCCAUGAAGGAACCCAGAGCGGCACGAUGUGGGGAGCACAGGUCCUGAGCCACAGAGACAAGGACCUGGUCUCGGGAACCUCCGCUCGGCCCUCGGGUGAUCUGGUCCCUGAGAACGAGCGGCGCACCCACACCUUCUCCUCCCUCCCGCCUUCCUGCCCUUUCUCUCCCGUAAGUAGGAAUCCUCGCUCCUUUUUUCUUUAGAAGAUGGUUUCUAGCUCCCCAGUGCUCAGAGAAUAUCACUGACACAAACCUCCUGACAUCCUGGCCGCUUUGGGGGCACGUGUGGUUUCAAGGUGUUUCGUUUUCUGUUUGCGCUUCAUUGCUCAGCACCAGAGAGUGACCGAAAUCAGGUGCCUCCCUCCGUGGAACUCUGCUGCCACAGGUUCAAGUGAUAGCCAAGAAUCAACAAGCAACAAGCUCUCUCCUCACUCACUCACUCAACUCACUGGCCUGGCCGGUGCCUAAGUACACCAGUAGGACCAUUAUGAUGUAAGUGAGACAGGGUUCUGUAGCAUUCUGACACGUGCGUCAGAGCAGACCACUGAUGGAGGGCGGGGGGGGGGGCUUUACCCAACAAACUCUACCAUCAACUUGAAUUUUUAUCUUGCACUUCAUACUGAGACUUGAGAACCAAUGAUAUGGAUUAAACAAAAGACAAUUACUGUAUGUAUCUAGGGUAACCACAUUACUAAAUCUCCCCAAGGGUGAGGAUAAGGCAUUACCUGAGAGAAACAGGCCUAGACCCAUGCCUGCUGCAUAGAACAUGGUAACUGUCAUAUCUUAGCACCAUAUAACUUAUGUACACAUGUAAGUUAUAUGGGAGGUGCAUGUGUAUAGUGGGUUUGUGAACACCUUGUGAUUCCAUACAGCUCCAACAUUUAUUGAAUUUUUCCCUGUAUAGGGAACAGGCUCGUGUUUUAACCACGCAUUGUCUCUUUUGAAACUCUUCCCCGUCGCAUCCCCAAAGCCUUCAGGGAAAGAGGAAGCCCCUGGCUUUACAUCCAGGGCCCUCAUCAUGAAUCCUGUGCUUGUCAAGCAUGAAGGCUUCAUUCACCCACUUCUGUUCUAGGCCCUGGAAACCAAUGGGCUCUGCACAGGGUUUGAACUCUAGUUAGCUCCAUUCUGCUCCCAACUUCCCACUGACUGGCUCCUCCCCGAGGGUCAAUAUGUAUUUCCUUCAAACUUAGCAGUUGCUCUACAACCAGGCCAUGAUCCAGCCAGCUUCAGCCUUCUUUACCUCCAAUAGGUCCUCCCUCACGGUGUUCCCCCCACAUGGGCUCGGCCUCUUGCGGCCACUAAAUGGUAGGCACAUUUCCCAAGAUACUCUCAGCCUUGUUAGCUAUUGGAGAAACCCAAACCAAAAAUUAGAUACUAUUUUACACAUACCAAGUUGGUAAAAUUAGAUCAACCUAUACAUAUAAGGAUAUGGGUAAAAAAAAGAACCUUCAUGGUAUAAAAUGAAGUAUUGACCUAUGUAGCUGUGUUGGGGAACAAUUAGCCAACAUUUUAUGAAAUUAAAUAAGGAUAUAACCUAUGAGCCUACAAUCUCAUUCCCUAAUGGGAUCUUUACAAGGGUGAUAUUCGUAGCAUUAUUUAUACUAGCAGGGAAGGUGGCAUUUUAGUUUCUAGCUCAAGAAGAAUGGAUAAGCAACAUAUGGUUGGUAUAUACAACAGAAUACAUUUCCAAGAAUAGAAGCCAAGCCCGUUAAACUGUAUGCCUAUAGGGCAGGGCGUCAGGAAGGAAUUGGAGAUCAGAAACAAAAAGAAAAUAUAAAUGUAUGAAAUAACCCUAAGCUAGCAACUAAGGAGAAUUAUUAAAUUACUAGUCAAUAAACAUUAAAGAGGGAAAAAGAAAAUCUUUCCCAAAAGUAAAAGGGUUCAGAUCAGGUCUAGAACUAAGAGAAAGGAUUAUUCUAAAGCUACCCUAUAGUAUUAGCUUCCUAGGGUAAGUUACUUUACCUCCUAAAGUCUCACUUCUGUCAUCUGUAAUCCAGGAAAAAUAGUUCUUCUCUCAUACCCUAGUGGAGUCCUGCAUGGAUGCCAGUAGAAAGACACCAAAGCUUGAAUUUCCUGUUAAAUUCCUGAAAAAGUCACUUAGCUCUGCCAUAGAGCCAGCUCAAAAUAUGAGUAAAAAUGCCAUGGAAAAGAAACAGAAACAAAACACAAAUGCAAUGCUUCAUGCCAAAAGACAGUAAAUACUGGCAGUAAACAUCUGAGGGCGGAGAUGGGAAUGGGAAUUUUUACUACCUUUUCUUCCCAUUCCUGUACAAGGCCACCAUUGCCCCUCUAGCAUUUUUGGUCAUCCAAAGACCUUAUCCUGUAUAAAAUUCGAUGAUGUCCCUUUCUCCAAGUAGAUGCAGCCCCUCCAGGACACAUCUUUGGUACAGGAGCCCAGGCCAUGUUUCAGAGCUUACUAUUUACUUCUUGCAUCUUUGUUCUUAGUUUCACAGGAUCCCCUCAAAAUAAUGUUUUUCAAAGUAAAUAAGGUUAAAUCCUUUUCUUUCCUGCCUCCUUCAAUGUGGUUUUAUUACUUAUUUGUAAUACAGUAAGUAUGGUUCUUUUAUGCUUAGUAUUCCAUUUUGGGUUCUCCUCACACUUAGUUGAGGUUUUUUGUAACUUUAUGUACAGUAAAAUCCACUGUGCUUUUAGAGUUCUGUGAGUUCUGACAAAUGCUUGUUCAUGUAACCGUCACCAGUUAUGACACAGGCAAUUCUAUCACCCCCCAAAUUCCCUUACAAUGAUUUUUUUGUAGUCAAGCCAUCCUUGCUUCCUAGAAUUUGUCACUUUUGAAAAAUGUUUAAGUUAUACUUGAAUACCUCUCUUAUUAAUAGUUUUUAAUCUUUUAAUUUUUUGAAACCUAGUUAUGUUUUUACUUGUCAUUCUUAAUUUUAAACAUAGCCACUGAUGCUUUCCAAAGGCUAUCCAAUAUGUCAUCUGUGUUAUUGGUUUCCAAUUGUAGGAUUUAUUUUUAAAUUGUCCUGAUAUUUUGGUUCAUUAACUCUAUAUUUGUUCAUUUGUUUGUAUUUCUUUUAUUUGGUUUCAAGUACCAUUAUUUUUUUCAUCAUCUUAUGUUGAAUUUCAAAUAAUUUACUUUUAUCCCUAUGUCAUCACUGGAAAAAUUAGGUGUAUGAAUUUUUUUUAAAUGUGAUUUGUCUGAAUUACAGAUUUUUUAUGUGUGUUUUAAUUCUAAUUAUGCCCUAAUUAUUUCUUAUAUAUAGAUAAUCUAUGAUUAUUGUUUUCUUUUUACCCACACAUUAUUUCAGAGAGAUGUUUGUUUUUAAUAUAGAUUUCCUUAUCAUUUUAUUUUGUUUCAUUAUCUUAUCCUUAGUAAUGUUAACAUUAUAUGUUUUUGCAUGUGUGUGUGUGUGACAUAAUAUAUGGACAAAUGCUAUAAACAGUUCUUUUGUACUUGAAGCUAAGAUAUAUUUUCUGUCCCUAAACUAUUGGAAUAUAUAUUGUAGUCCCAAGAUAUAGUAUAUCUACCUACAUAAAAUCCCCAUAAAAUAUUGACAUUACUAUUCAAUUUUAAUUUUUGGAAUUGUUUUACCAUACCUCAUUGCCAUAUGGUUUCUAUUUCUCUUGUAUUUUCAUUAAUUUUUCCUACAUUACACAGUUGAUUGUUGUGAUUUAUUGUGCAAAUAUUCAUAAAAUCCAUAUUUAACUACAUUCAUCAGUAUGAAGUCAUUUAACAGUCUUAUUUAAAUUUCAAAAAACAAAAUAUUUUAUUAACAUAAAAUAGUUCCUGUAGAAUAGAAAAUUGGAAUGUGGCUACGAACAUAGCUAAGAAAAUUGGAUUAUAAGUAAGACAUUUCUGGCAAAAAUAAAAGACAGUAUUAAUAAAAACAAUGGUAAGAAUACAUAUAAAACAGGGAGCCACAGACUCUGCUUUUUAACUAGUAGAAGCAGGAAAUACAGAUAAUUAUCCCAUGGUAUUUACAAAAGCAUUUCGCAGCAUUACUGUCUAACUGAAAAGGGAAAAUUGAGGCAAUUACUAUUCUGAUUGUUGUAGGAUAUUCCAAUGGGCAUAUUCCACAUAGAGAGAACAUAGGCCUAAGGAGAGAGUAAUAACAAAAUAAAUAUAUAGGGAUUUCUAGGCCAUUUCAAAAUAAUUACUCUCUUAGUAAUUUAUGUCCAUAUAGCUAUUAUUUUCAACUCAGAAAUUCCAGCAGAACCACUGUCCCAACCAGUGGGAAUUUUCACUGAAAUAUUUGGAGUUUGUUUCUGUUGGACCUGGGUAUUCAGGCCCAUUACCUGUGUGGCUGUCUGAUACAUCAGGUUUCUCCACAUUGUGACUCAGUAAACUUCCCUCUUCAGAAUUCUUUGAUGUGUAUUGUUUUUUCAAGUCCUUCUCUGAAAUUUUUGUAUAUUGACAAAUGGCACUUUUUAGGAUUAAUUUUUAACAUUAACCUAAACUAAGGCAUCGGAGCUGUACCAUAUGUUAGAAUGUUCACAUUACAAUGAAUGUGGUAUUGGAAGCGUAUCUAACUUUUUAAAACUGAAGUUUCCAUGUUUAACAAUAGUUGUUCCUGAUUAUGACAAGCUGAACCAGUUAUAAAAAAUGCAAACUUGCACACAGUCUCAAUUAUGGCUCCUCAAACACCAGAGUACAAUAGCAAUAACUCUUUGUUCUUAUUUCUUCUGUCAGACACAGUAGUGUUUUUUGACCACUAACUGAAAACUGAAUUGGUCGAGAAUUACCGAACUAUUUGUAUUGUAUUAAAAUGAUUUCACUUUGUCAUUAGGAUAGAUUUGUCACUAACUUUAAAUGACAAUAUUUUUUAUAUUUCAUCAACAUAUACUCAACUCUAAAUAUGAUAACUGCCACGUACUAAAAAAUAAGUAAAUAU